AAUAUACUUAUGGGGUGCUUGGAAUGACCGUGGUCAUUCUCGGCUGAGAUUAUACCCAAUAGAAGCGAUUGUACCUCCUUGUACAAUCGCUUUUAUAUACCUGAUCCAGGUAAUGCUGGCGUAGGGAUUUAAUUUCAAUCAAAAU
rnacentral:ncRNA from 1 species